ensembl:snoRNA SNORA74 Small nucleolar RNA SNORA74
CCCAGCUGCAGGCAGCUGCCUAGGUUGUCUUGUACCCAGGCAACUGUUACACUGCUGGGAGAAAAGCAGCAAGUAGCUGGUGGGCAUUCUGGGCCUGAUUAACGCCAAAUUGGUGUUAACUAU